rnacentral:lncRNA from 1 species
AUCAUGUUAGGGUUAGGGUAUUUACAGUAUCCAUCACCUCACAUAUUUAUCAUUUCUAUGUGUUGGGAACAUUUCAAGUUCUCUCUUAUAGACAUUUUAGAACAAACAAUAUAUUUUUGUUAAUGAUAGUCUACUCAGCUAACAAACAUUAGAAUGUUUUUCUUCUAUCUAAUUGUAUGUUUUUACCCAUUAACCAACCUCUCUUAUUUACACACUACCCAUGUACACACCCUCUUCAGCCUCUGGUAUCUACUUCCAUGAGAAAACCUUUUUUUUGGUCCCACAUAUAUGAGUCAGAACAUGUAAUAUUUGUCUUUCUGUGCCUGACUCCAAAUUUCACACUAAACUUAGUGAAAGAUGCAUCUUGUGAAAUGUCCUACGUAUUUCUAUUUUUUUUUACAGGGUUUUGGAGACAUAUUACACAGUGAGUCCGUGCUGCUGCACAUGCCCCAGCCUCUGAAUCUAGAGCUCAGUGCAGGGCCCAUCACUGGACUGAGGGACAGGCUCAUCUAAUUCUGAGUGGAUAUUACUCUGCAUUAUAAUGAAGCCAACAGUCAUAUCUUCUGAUGUGGAGAUUUGAGAAGCAUUUGUAUUGGAUGUGACCGUCAAAAUGCGCCCCAUAUCACUGCAACACCUACAAGUUUUCUUGCAUGGGGUGCUCAGACUUUCACCUCUGGCAAGUAUUACUGGGAGGUCCAUGUGGGGGACUCUUGGAAUUGGGCUUUCGGUGUUUGUAAUAAGUACUGGAAAGGGAAGAAUCAGAAUGGCAAUAUAUAUGGAGAGGAGGGACUCUUUAGUCUUGGGAUUGUUAAGAACGACAUUCAGUGCAGUCUCUUUACCACCUCCCCAGUUACACUGCAGUAUGUCCCAAGACCUACCAACCAUGUAGGAUUAUUCCUGGAUUGUGAAGCUAGAACUGUGAGCUUCGUUGAUGUUAAUCAAAGCUCCCCUAUAUACACCAUCCCUAAUUGCUCCUUCUCACCUCCUCUCAGGCCUAUCUUUUGCUGUAUUCAUCUCUGACCAGAGACAAAUCAGAAAUGUGUUUAUCUGCUGUGGGAACCCCUUUAUCCCAUAAAGCCCUCUUCCUUGUGCCUUAUCAAACAGGACAAAUAGGUUCUGUUUUAUGUCUUGAAUUGCAUUCUAAUGUUAUUAAAACUCAUUUAUUGUGUUACUAUUAAAUGUGGUA